UUCAGUCAUGUUUUGAUAUUGCAAAUUUCAAAGAGACAAAAAAUGCCCACAAUGCAUUCCUCCAUCAGAUUACCAGAGAGGGAUUGCAGAGUUUACUUCCAAUAAUACAGAGUUGACGUGGAAGAUAGUUGCUGUGGUUUCGAUAGUGUUGAUAUUCAUUUUGAUUGCUUUGGUAAUUUAUAUGAUUCGGAGAAUUAAGAUAAAAGAAAGAAAAAAAGAUUCGAAAAGAAAAAAAGGUGUUGACGACAAGAAUUUGGAAUAUUCAGAACAUCUUUUGACGUAUUAUACAG